rnacentral:rRNA from 1 species
UACGUAGGGGGCAAGCGUUGUCCGGAAUCAUUGGGCGUAAAGCGCGUGUAGGCGGCCCGAUAAGUCCGCUGUGAAAGUCCAGGGCUCAACCCUGGGAUGCCGGUGGAUACUGUCGGGCUCGAGUCCGGAAGAGGCGAGUGGAAUUCCUGGUGUAGCGGUGAAAUGCGCAGAUAUCAGGAGGAACACCGAUGGCGAAGGCAGGUCACUGGGCCGCAACUGACGCUGAGGAGCGAAAGCAUGGGGAGCGAACAGG